rnacentral:rRNA from 1 species
UACGUAGGCAGCGAGCGUUGUUCGGAGUUACUGGGCGUAAAGGGUGUGUAGGCGGUUGUUUAAGUUUGGUGUGAAAUCUCCCGGCUCAACUGGGAGGGUGCGCCGAAUACUGAAUGACUUGGAGUGCGGGAGAGGAGAGUGGAAUUCCUGGUGUAGCGGUGAAAUGCGUAGAUAUCAGGAGGAACACCGAUGGCGAAGGCAGAUCUCUGGGCCGUAACUGACGCUGAGGAGCGAAAGCGUGGGGAGCGAACAGG